rnacentral:rRNA from 1 species
UAAUACGUAGGGUGCGAGCGUUAAUCGGAAUUACUGGGCGUAAAGGGUGCGCAGGCGGCGUCGCAAGUCAGGCGUGAAAUCCCCGGGCUUAACCUGGGAAUGGCACUUGAAACUACGAUGCUGGAGUAUGGCAGAGGGAGGUGGAAUUCCACGUGUAGCGGUGAAAUGCGUAGAGAUGUGGAGGAACACCGAUGGCGAAGGCAGCCUCCUGGGCCAAUACUGACGCUCAUGCACGAAAGCGUGGGGAGCAAACAGGAUUAGAUACCCUGGUAGUCCACGCCCUAAACGAUGUCAACUGGUUGUUGGGUCUUCACUGACUCAGUAACGAAGCUAACGCGUGAAGUUGACCGCCUGGGGAGUACGGCCGCAAGGUUG